CGCUCAAAACAAAACGGAAAGUGCGACGAAAACUGGAACUCGUAGUCUUGGAAACCAAGUUAUUAGAAAAGGUCAUAUGUGCAUUCAAAACCUUGGCAUCAUGAAAGGUGGGUCCAGACCAUAUUGGUUCGUUUUAACAUCUGAAAGUAUUUCUUGGUUCAAAGACGAAGAUGAAAAGGAAAAAAAGUAUAUGCUUCCUGUUGACUGUCUUAAGCUUCGAGAUAUUGAACAAAGCUUUAUGUCCCGGAGGCACACAUUUGCUCUUUUUAACCCUGAUGGUCGUAAUAUAUACAAGGCUGCAUAUGAUUGAAAAACAC